GCCCUUGUAGCUCAGUGGUAGAAGCGCGUCACUCGUAUUAACGAAACAUGACGAGGUCCGCGGUUCAAUCCCGCGUGGGGGCA